rnacentral:rRNA from 1 species
ACCCGCUGAACUUAAGCAUAUCAAUAAGCGGAGGAAAAGAAACCAACAGGGAUUGCCUUAGUAACGGCGAGUGAAGCGGCAAAAGCUCAAAUUUGAAAUCGGCCACCAGGUCGAGUUGUAAUUUGUAGAUUGUAUCUUGAGAGCGGAUUAAAGUCUGUUGGAACACAGCGCCUUAGAGGGUGGCAGCCCCGUAAAAUCUAUUCUCAUUGUAAGAUACUUUCGAAGAGUCGAGUUGUUUGGGAAUGCAGCUCUAAGUGGGAGGUAAAUUCCUUCUAAAGCUAAAUAUUGACGAGAGACCGAUAGCGAACAAGUACUGUGAAGGAAAGAUGAAAAGCACUUUGAAAAGAGAGUGAAAAAGUACGUGAAAUUGUUAAAAGGGAAGGGUAUUGAAUCAGACUUGGUGCUGUUGUUCAACUGUGUUUUGGCACAGUGUACUCAGCAGUACUAGGCCAAGGUGGGGUGUUUGGGAGUGAAAAAGAAGUUGGAACGUAACUCUUCGGAGUGUUAUAGCCUACUUUCAUAGCUCCUCAGGCGCCUCAGGACUGCGCUUCGGCAAGGACCUUGGCAUAAUGAUUCUAUACCGCCCGUCUUGAAACACGGACCAAGGAG